CCCUUAGAUGUUCUGGGCCGCACGCGUGCUACACUGAAUAGUUCAAUGGGUGAGGUAGUGCGAAAGCAUGACCCAAUCUCUAAAUCUAUUCGUGAUGGGGAUAGAAGCUUGCAAUUAUCCUUCUUGAACGAGGAAUACCUUGUAGGCAUAAGUCAUCAUCUUAUGCCGAAUACGUCCCUGCCCUUUGUACACACCGCCCGUCGCUCCUACCGAUUGAAUGGUCCGGUGAGGCUUUGGGAGAGCUAAAUAGACUGUGCUUCACAGAUUAUUUGGCUUGAACUUAGUCAAACCUUACUAUUUAGAGGAAGGAGAAGUCGUAACA
rnacentral:rRNA from 1 species